rnacentral:rRNA from 1 species
GACGAACGCUGGCGGCGUGCCUAAUACAUGCAAGUCGAACGCAGUGGGGACGGGUGAGUAACACGUGGGUAACCUCCCAUCAGAGGGGAUAACACUUGGAAACAGGUGCUAAACCGAUAUUGAUGGAUGGACCCGCGGUGCAGUAGCUAGUCGGUGGAGUAACGGCUCACCUAGGCGACGAUCUCUAGCUGGUCUGAGAGGGUAAUAAGCCAUACUGGGACUGAGACACGGCCCAGACUCCUACGGGAGGCAGCAGUGGGGAAUAUUGCACAAUGGGCGAAAGCCGGAUGUAGCCAUGCCGCGUGUAUGAAGAAGGCUUUAGGGUUGUAAAGUACUUUCAUCGGGGAGGCGUUACCCGCCGAGGAAGCACCGGCUAACUCCGUGCCAGCAGCCGCGGGAAUUC